rnacentral:rRNA from 1 species
UUGAUCCUGCUCAGGUACGCUGGCGGCGUGCCUACACAUGCAGUCGAACGGUUYUAAGCGCGAGCUUAGGAUAGKKGGCGAACGGGUGAGUAAAAGGUAGGAAUCUACCCCUKGGACGGAGAUAGCUACUGGAAMCGGURGGUAAAYUUCGAUAAGCCSRAGAGGGGRAAAGUGGUGAGACAGCSGAGGGAUGAGCYUACUCUCCCAUCAGGUAGUUGGKKRAGAUAAAAAGCUUACCAAGCCGAUGACGGAUAACCGGUGUGAGAGCAUGAACGGUCACAAGGGCAYUGAGAGACGGGCCCUACUCCUACGGGAGGCAGCAGUGGGGAUUCUKGRCCAAUGGGCGAAAGCCUGAUCCASSGACGCCGSGUGGAGGAAGAAUUCYUUCGGGAUGUAAACUUYUGAMCUASCSGAAUAAAAGGCCKGKGGACACCCAGGAGAAGAAAGUAGGCUAGGAAAAGUCCCGGCUAMYUACGUGCCAGCAGCCGCGGUAAGACGUAGGGGGCAAGCGUUACCCGGAAUUACUGGGCGUAAAGGGGGCGUAGGCGGUAAAAGAAGUCAUCUGUGAAAACCUAUUGCUCAACGAUAGGCUAGCGGAUGAAACUGAAUUACUUGAGGGCACCAGAGGUAGACGGAAUUACCCGAGUAGGGGUGAAAUCCGCAGAUACGGGUAGGAACGCCGGUGGAGAAGUCGGUCUACUGGGGUGCACCAGACGCUGAGGCCCGAAAGCUAGGGGAGCAAACCGGAUUAGAUACCCGGGUAGUCCUAGCCGUAAACGAUGCUCACUAGGUGUAGGGAGUGAUAAACUCUCUGUGCUGAAGCGAACGCGCUAAGUGAGCC